rnacentral:tRNA from 1 species
GUGGCAUGGUGGAUCAGUGGCAGAGCACUUGCCUAGCACGUGUGAGGCCCUGGGUUCGAUCCUCAGCACCACA